rnacentral:lncRNA from 1 species
CCGCUACAGGCAGACUUCGUCCGGACUCCUACGAGAGCCGGACCUCAUCCUCGACCUCGACCAUAGGUAGACUCUGUCCGGACUCCUACGGGAGCCGGACCUCAUCCCCAACUUUGAUUGCAGGUAGACUUCGACCAGACUCCUACGGGAGCCGGACCUCGUCCUCAACCUCGACUGCAAAUGGACUUCGUCCGGACUCCUACGGGAGCCGAACCUCAUCCUAAGCUCCAAUUGCUGGAAGGCUCCGUCCGGACUCCUACGGGAGCCAGACCUCAUCCUCGACCUCGACCACAGGUAGACUCUGUCCGGACUCCUAUGGAAGCUGGACCUCAUCCCCAACUUCGAUUGCAGGUAGACUUCGACCAGACUCCUACGGGAGCCAGAUCUUGUCUCCGACUCCCGCUAUAGGCAGACUUCGUCCGGACUCCUACGGGAGCUGGACCUCGUCCCCAACCUUAACUGCUGGAAGGCUCCGUCCGGACUCCUACGGGAGUCGGACCUCAUCCUCAACCUCGACUGCAGGCGGACUUCGUCCAGACUCCUACGGGAGCCGGACCUCAUCCUCAACCUCGACUGUAGAUGGACUUCGUCCGGACUCCUACGGGAGCCGAACCUCAUCCUCAGCUCCAACUGCUGGAAGGCUCCAUCCGGACUCCUACGAGAGUCGGACCUCAUCCUCGACCUGGACCAUAGGUAGACUCUGUCCAGACUUCUACGGGAGCCGGACCUCAUCCCCAACUUCGAUUGCAGGUAGACUUAGAUCGGACUCCUAUGGGAGCCGGACCUCGUCCUCAACCUCGACUGCAGACGGACUUCAUCUGGACUCCUACGGGAGCCGAACCUCAUCCUCAGCUCCAACUGCUGGAAGGCUCCGUCCAGACUCCUACGGGAGCCAGACCUCAUCCUCGACCUUGACCACAGGUAGACUCUGUCCGGACUCCUACGGGAGCCGGACCUCGUCCCCAACUUCGAUUGCAGGUAGACUUCGAUCGGACUCCUACGGGAGCCAGAUCUCGUCUCCGACUCCAGCUACAGGCAGACUUCGUCCGGACUCCUAUGGGAGCCGGACCUCGUCCCCAACAUUAACUGCUGUAAGGCUCCGUCCGGACUCCUACGGGAGCCGGACUCCGCCCUCGACUCCGAUCGCAGCCCGCCGGCAACAUCCGAGCUCCUUUCAAAUGGAUAGCCACUUCUCUCCGUCGGAUGCCUCAACCGAGCUUCGGCCGACAGGCCUGGACCCCCC